rnacentral:rRNA from 1 species
GGUUUUUAGGAAAUAUUAAAAAUUAGGCCUGCUCAAUGAGAAUUAAAUAGCCGCGGUAUCAUGACUGUGCAAAGGUAGCAUAAUAAUUUGUCUUUUAAUUUGGGACUGGAAUGAAUGGUUUGACCAAGUAGCUUUGUCUUAGGUUUAUAUUUCUAAUUUUAUAUUUUAGUAAAAAAGCUAAAAUUUAUUUCAGGGACGAGAAGACCCUAUCAAACUUUACAAAUUAAUUUUUUUUUCUUAAGAUAAAGUAUGUUUGUUUUGCUGGGGCAGUAGGUAGUAAAAUUUUAUUUAUGCAUUAUGAAUUUAAUUCUUGUUGAAUCGGGAAUUUCCUAAAUAAAAAUAAGUUACUGUAGGGAUAACAGCGUAAUUCUUUUUUAGAGUUCUUAUCGAUAUCAGAGUUUGCGACCUCGAUGUUGGAUUAAAAUACCUUUUCCGCGCAAUAGGGGAAUUAGGAAGUCUGUUCGACUUUUAAAAUUUUCCA